rnacentral:rRNA from 1 species
UACGUAGGGGGCGAGCGUUGUCCGGAUUUAUUGGGCGUAAAGCGCGGGCAGGCGGCCCGGUAAGUCGGCCGUGAAAGCGCCGGGCUCAACUCGGCGAGGACGGGCGAGACUGCGGGGCUUGAGAGAGGUAGAGGGCGGUGGAAUUCCGGGUGUAGUGGUGGAAUGCGUAGAGCUCCGGAGGAACACCAGUGGCGAAGGCGGCCGCCUGGGCCUUUCUGACGCUGAGCCGCGAAAGCGUGGGGAGCGAGCCGG